rnacentral:rRNA from 1 species
CAGCAGCCGCGGGAAAACAGAGGGUGCGAGCGUUAAUCGGAUUUACUGGGCGUAAAGCGUGCGUAGGCGGCUUUUUAAGUCGGAUGUGAAAUCCCUGAGCUUAACUUAGGAAUUGCAUUCGAUACUGGGAAGCUAGAGUAUGGGAGAGGAUGGUAGAAUUCCAGGUGUAGCGGUGAAAUGCGUAGAUAUCUGGAAGAAUACCGAUGGCGAAGGCAGCCAACUGGCCUAAUACUGACGCUGAGGUACGAAAGCAUGGGGAGCAAACAGGAUUAGAUACCCCAGUAGUCCCUGUCUCUUAUAC